UAGGGAAUCUUCCGCAAUGGACGAAAGUCUGACGGAGCAACGCCGCGUGAGUGAUGAAGGCUUUCGGGUCGUAAAGCUCUGUUGUUAGGGAAGAACAAGUGCUAGUUGAAUAAGCUGGCACCUUGACGGUACCUAACCAGAAAGCCACGGCUAACUACGUG
rnacentral:rRNA from 1 species